rnacentral:snRNA from 1 species
AAGUGGGCUAUCUGGCUGUGACAUCUGAAACCCAGUUCAUCAACAGGGUUGAUUCAGCUGAUCUGGCUAUCUAUGCUGGUGUCCCUUUCCUCCCUCACUGCUCCAUGUAAAAGACUACUAAAGCUGGUGAAUGCUGGGUCAAAAAGAAUGAUCUUCCUGGGAUAUAAGAGGAUUGGUCUUCAUUCAAGAAUAUAUGAGCAGCUGUGCUCUCCUGUUCCUAUCUCUAAAUAAGCUCUUGUUAUCCAUUAUAAGGUGUUUGACUGUUCCCACCUUCUAAAAUGGAAAGAAAGCUUUUCGUUGGCAAUUUAUA